UGGGGAAUAUUGGACAAUGGGCGCAAGCCUGAUCCAGCAAUGCCGCGUGUGUGAAGAAGGCCUUCGGGUUGUAAAGCACUUUUAUCAGGAGCGAAACGCUGUCGGCUAAUACCCGGCGGAACUGACGGUACCUGAGGAAUAAGCACCGGCUAACUUCGUGCCAGCAGCCGCGGUAAUACGAAGGGUGCAAGCGUUAAUCGGAAUUACUGGGCGUAAAGCGUGCGUAGGCGGUUUCUUAAGUCUGCUGUGAAAUCCCCGGGCUCAACCUGGGAAUGGCAGUGGAUACUGGGAGGCUAGAGUGUGUCAGAGGGUGGUGGAAAUUCCCGGUGUAGCGGUGAAAUGCAUAGAGAUCGGGAGGAACAUCAGUGGCGAAGGCGGCCACCUGGGACAACACUGACGCUGAGGCACGAAAGCGUGGGGAGCAAACAGGAUUAGAUACCCUGGUAGUCCACGCCCUAAACGAUGCGAACCGGAUGUUGGUCUCAACUCGGAGAUCAGUGUCGAAGCUAACGACGUUAAGUUCGCCGCCUGGGGGAGUACGGUCGCAAGACU
rnacentral:rRNA from 1 species